rnacentral:tRNA from 1 species
CAUUGAAGAAGCUAACGUAGCAUUAACCUUUUAAGUUAAAGACUGGGAACCUGGACUUCCCCUCAAUGG